rnacentral:misc_RNA from 1 species
AUUUAGUCCUCCUUGUCUGUUUAGGCUUUGGCUUUUUUAUGUUUGUCUAUGUUUGGGAUGUUUCACUAAUGCAUAUGUACUUACCUGUAUGUUAAAAUGACACUAGCUGUGCACCCGACUCUUUAAGAAUGGGAUUUGGCAAAAAAUCAUUCUCUCUCUCUCUCCUCUUCAGUAUCCUUUCAUGCAAGGCCUAUUGAGUUUCAUAGGGGUGAAUAGGUUAAUUUUGUCAUCUGAAUGGUCUAACAUGCUUAUAAAG